rnacentral:rRNA from 1 species
GACGAACGCUGGCGGCGUGCUUAACACAUGCAAGUCGAACGGAAAGGCCCUGCUUUUGUGGGGUGCUCGAGUGGCGAACGGGUGAGUAACACGUGAGUAACCUGCCCUUGACUUUGGGAUAACUUCAGGAAACUGGGGCUAAUACCGGAUAGGAGCUCCUGCUGCAUGGUGGGGGUUGGAAAGUUUCGGCGGUUGGGGAUGGACUCGCGGCUUAUCAGCUGGUUGGUGGGGUAGUGGCUUACCAAGGCUUUGACGGGUAGCCGGCCUGAGAGGGUGGCCGGCCACAUUGGGACUGAGAUACGGCCCAGACUCCUACGGGAGGCAGCAGUGGAGAAUAUUGCACAAUGGGCGGAAGCCUGAUGCAGCAACGCCGCGUGCGGGAUGACGGCCUUCGGGUUGUAAACCGCUUUCGCCUGUGACGAAGCGUGAGUGACGGUAAUGGGUAAAGAAGCACCGGCUAACUACGUG